CAGCAGCCACGGUAAUACGUAGGGUGCAAGCGUUAAUCGGAAUUACUGGGCGUAAAGCGUGCGCAGGCGGUUUGUUAAGACAGAUGUGAAAUCCCCGGGCUCAACCUGGGAACUGCAUUUGUGACUGGCAGGCUAGAGUAUGGCAGAGGGGGGUGGAAUUCCGCGUGUAGCAGUGAAAUGCGUAGAUAUGCGGAGGAACACCGAUGGCGAAGGCAGCCCCCUGGGCCAAUACUGACGCUCAUGCACGAAAGCGUGGGGAGCAAACAGGAUUAGAUACCCGAGUAGUCCCUGUCUCUUAUAC
rnacentral:rRNA from 1 species